rnacentral:rRNA from 1 species
AGUUAGUUAUUAAAGCUUUAUGCGCUGAGGGAUUGGGAUAUGCUCUAUUAGCUUGUUGGCGGGGUAAAAGCCCACCAAGGCUAUGAUAGAUAGCUGGUCUUAGAGGAUGAACAGCCACAAUGGGAUUGAGAUACGGCCCAUAUUCCUACGGGAAGCAGCAGUAGGGAAUCUUCCACAAUGGACGAAAGUCUGAUGGAGCAAUACCAUGUGAACGAUGAAGGUCUUUUUGAUUGUAAAGUUCUUUUAUGAGGGAUAACAACUGAUAGUACCUCAUGAAUA